rnacentral:lncRNA from 10 species
GGAAGAAGCCCGACAUUUCUUAUAGGAAAUGGAACUCUUCAUAAGUCUGGCCAUGGAGGCAUGGUAUCCGUAACAUCCCCCAAAGGAGCUAAAGAAGAAAUCCACAAUUUACCAUGAGCAUUUCUCGUCUGAAGAUUGCCAAGCGAUUCCUCCAGGACAUUCCUCAAGAUCAAUUUCUGUUCAUCCACCUUGUCCUGGGAGGGACAUCAAUGGGUUUCCAUGUCCUUUGGCUUCUGGUUGAGUUCACUCAGUGGAGAACCCUGGCAAGAGGCAGGAAAAGGGGAGGAAGGCUUUAUGAUACAUGUGUUGAAUGUGCAGGUUCGUUACAUAGGUAAAUGUGUGGCAUGGUGGUUUGCUGCACCUAUCAACCCAUCACCUAGGUAUUAAGCCCUGCAUGCAUUAGCUAUUAGUCCUGAUGCUCUCCCUCCCCCGCACCCCCUAGCAGGUCCCUGGUGUAUGUUGUUCCACUCCCUGUGUUCAUGUAUUCUCAUUGUUCAACUCCC